rnacentral:rRNA from 1 species
CCUACGGGGGACAGCAGUGAGGAAUAUUGGUCAAUGGUCGGGAGACUGAACCAGCCAAGCCGCGUGAGGGAUGAAGGUACAGAGUAUCGUAAACCUCUUUUGUCAGGGAACAAAGGCGGGGACGUGUCCCCGGAUGAGUGUACCUGAAGAAAAAGCAUCGGCUAACUCCGUGUCAGCAGCCGCGGUACUACGGAGGAUGCGAGCGUUAUCCGGAUUUAUUGGGUUUAAAGGGUGCGCAGGCGGUCUGUUAAGUCAGCGGUCAAAGCCCGGGGCUCAACCCCGGCCCGCCGUUGAAACUGGCAGUCGCGAGUUGGAGAGAAGUAUGCGGAAUGCGCGGUGUAGCGGUGAAAUGCAUAGAUAUCGCGCAGAACUCCGAUUGCGAAGGCAGCAUGCCGGCUCCACACUGACGCUGAGGCACGAAAGCGUGGGUAUCGAACAGGAUUAGAUACCCCUGUAGUC